rnacentral:lncRNA from 1 species
UGCUUCUCAGCAGGUCGCGCAUUGGCAGCAGUAGCAGCGCCGGAGGCCCGAGCCGUGCCAGUGGGCUUUCACGGCUUGGCUGAGGUUGUGACAUCCAAGAAAACUGUAACAAAUGUGAAGAUAAGAUGGCAGAACCAACGGUGAUCUGAGCAGCACAUGGCUGAAUCCAACAGGCUGCUGGACCCCAGACCCUGCUUUGCAGAGCAAAGGCCGCUGAGGUGACUUUGGUGCUGGCGGACCCCAGACCCCGCUUCGCAGAGCCCGGGCAGCUGAGGAGAUUUUAGCUCGCGCCGGGCAGGGUUGGCUGGCGGUGGAACGCGGGCCUGCGGAGGGCCGCGGCGCCGCCACCAGGCCGCGGGGGGCAGGCUCCGUCCGGCCGCCGUCGCUCCCCUCGCCGCCGCCCAGCUCCGCCGCGAGACCGGGGCUCGGAGCGCGGGCGCGGUGCCCCGCUGAGGCAGCCGCGGGACCGGCCCCGCUCCGCCCCGCCCCGCCCCGCCGAGCCGGUCCUGCGGAGGGGUGGCCGUGGGGGUGCGCAGGGCGGGGACUGCUGCCGCCCGCUCCCAGUGAGCUCAUCCCGCCGACGCGCCUGCCUGGCGGCGGAGGAGCCCUGUCUGGGCCGCGCCGCAGGAGCCCCUGGGCGAGGGGCAGGGCCCCGCGGGCGGAGCUGAACCUUUCUUUGAAGAUGAAAGAUUAAUCAGCAAGCCUUCAGACUCUUGUGUGUGUAAGAACAUCAGCCUGAUCUGUUGGUUAUUUGUGAUGAUACCCAUAAACAUCUGUAAGUUGAAAUUUAUAUUACUGGUUUUAAAAUCAAGAUUUUUCUGUAGAGAUGCUGUUUUGACUAAAAAUUGGCAUUUCAAACUCUACCGGGAGCUAGGUCUUCAUGUUUUUGAGAAGAACAGAGAAAGGUCUGGUUUGGGUUUUGUGUCUGGGUAAGGUCUGAGAAAACCAGCUAGUUUCAUGUCUUUUGGUUGCUUUCAGCUCUCAAGACUUAACAUGGAGGUUGGAGAAUUUGUUUAUCACAAAGUGGUGGCAGUGGAAAAAGAAAAAAGCAUAUAGUCUAACAAAUGUAUAAGGCCUUAUUUUUUUAAAACUAUGUUUGUAUAUAGGAGGCACCACUGUUAGAAAACUGACUUCUGAAUAAUAAGUAAGGCAUUAUAACAUUAAACUGAAACAACACCCCGAAGCAAGCACUGAAACAGUCCAUGAUCCUUACUGCAUUUAGUUUUGUAUUUAANAAAAAAAAAAAAAAAAAAAAGAAAGAAAAAACCUUUAUUUUGGUGGAGCCUUAAACUCUCUGAUCUUGUCCUGAAGGGAAGUAAAUAAAAGGAUCAAUUGCUUAUUAAUACAAACUAUCUAUUGUGC